GAUCCUGGCUUAGAUUGAACGCUGGCGGCGUGCUUAACACAUGCAAGUCGCGCGUGAAAGGACUUCGGUCCGAGUAAAGCGGCGCACGGGUGAGUAACGCGUGGAUGAUCUACCCAUGAGUUAGGAAUAACGGCUGGAAACGGUCGCUAAUACCAAAUACGCUCCGAUUUCAACUUCGGGGGAAAGGUGGCCUCUGCUUGCAAGCUACUGCUCAUGGAUGAGUCCGCGUCCCAUUAGCUAGUUGGUGGGGUAACGGCCCACCAAGGCGACGAUGGGUAGCCGGUCUGAGAGGAUGACCGGCCACACUGGGACUGGAACACGGCCCAGACUCCUACGGGAGGCAGCAGUGGGGAAUAUUGCGCAAUGGGCGAAAGCCUGACGCAGCGACGCCGCGUGAGGGAUGAAGGUCCUCGGAUCGUAAACCUCUGUCAGGAGGGAAGAACCGCCACGGUGCUAAUCAGCCGUGGUCUGACGGUACCUCCAAAGGAAGCACCGGCUAACUCCGUGCCAGCAGCCGC
rnacentral:rRNA from 1 species